rnacentral:rRNA from 1 species
UACAGAGGGGGCGAGCGUUGUUCGGAAUCACUGGGCGUAAAGGGAGCGUAGGCGGCGUGGUAAGUCAGGUGUGAAAUCCCGGGGCUCAACCCCGGAACUGCACCCGAUACUGCCGUGCUUGCGGGUUGGAGAGGUAGCUGGAAUUCUCGGUGUAGCAGUGAAAUGCGUGGAUAUCGAGAGGAACACUCGUGGCGAAGGCGA